ACCAACGCCCCGACACACACGCCUCAACUCCAGCAAGAUGAUGUGGUGUUGGCUAAACCAUGCAGCAUGGUGAUGGAGCUGCUGGAGUUGGAUAGGAGUCUGGAACAAACAGACAAGAGGAACAAGAUGCAACAUUUUCUUGAAACUGUCGGAGGGGCAGGUUUAGGGGCAGCCAUUCACCGUAUGCUACGCUGAGUGGCAAAUGAGGUACUCGCCCAGUACAGCUUGCGGGGCAGACGGGCCAAAAUGUCCUUUGAUGACCUCAUUCUGUGCAAGAUUAUAAAGGCUGCAUGUGUCAAAAAAUUUCCCGGCCAUACGGAAGCUGAAGUGGAGGAAUGCCUUGGGCAGACUCUAAAAUUUGCACCACACAGACAAUCAGCUGGUCAGCAGCAACGGAUGGACAAUUGAAUUGUGAACAGUGAAUUUUAUUUUUUUGUGAAGUGA